UACUGAUCCCUGUGGUACACCACUGGUUACCUCGCUCCAUUUUGAGGUUUCUCCUCUAAUCAGUACUUUCUGUUUUUUACUUGUUAACCACUCCCUAAACCAUGUGCAUGCAUUUCCUUGAAUCCUUACUGCAUCCAGUUUAUUCAUGAAGGAUCCUAUAGUCUCUGUUUCAACAACUCUGUCCGGCAGCCUGUUCCAAUGGUUCACCACCCUUUCCAUGAAAAAGCUCCUUCUCCCCUUGGAUCUGAAUAUGCCCUUCUUCAGCUUCCACCUGUGGCCCCUGGUUCUGUUCUCUGUGGAAAUUAAUUCUCAGCAGUUACUUUGUUAAACCGCUUGACAAUUUUAAAUACAUCUAUUAAGUCGCCUCUGGCUCUCCUUCUUUCUAGGCUAUACAGAUUGAGCUCUUUCAGUCCAUCUUCAUAUGAUAUGACCUUCAGUCCUGGAAUUAAUUGUGUUGCUCUCCUCUGUACUCUCUCCAAUGCCUAAAUGUCUUUCUUAUGAUAUGGGGACCAGAAGGGGAUAUACUCUCCACUUUCAACAUUAAAAUGAUUAAAUCUAUCCGUGGCUUACUGCUAGCUGUCAAUUAAAAAGAAAUAAUGCUAGAACUGUCUUUUGUUAGUACAGAAAAGGUGAUCUGGAAGAGCACAGGCUACAGCAAUCUAGGAUGUCUAUCGAAGUCAGCACAAAAACACGAGCGUUCCCAAAGUCACUUGCGAGCCACUGUAGUAACACUACACUAAAAACUUUUGGACAAACCCGGAUUGAUGUUCAACUGGAUGAGCAGAAGCACAGGGAUACAACACAUCAUAAUGAGCAAAGCCAGAUACGGAACUGGAAGGACCGGGAGAGAUCCCCAUUGAAUUAUUGUGAAAAGUGUUUGUGAGUGUUUUGUUUGUUUUUGUCGCUGUUAGUAAUUGUCUUGUUUUGUAAAUUUACUGGAUGGCUAACACGUCUCUGGAGCUGUCGCCUUGGGCCAGCACUACCUGGAGCAACACUGCACUACAGUCACUGUUUCAAUUGUUAUCACUCACCACUAACACUACUGCAUGCACCCGGACUGGUGACCAUGGAUUGUAUUGUGGGGCGGAUAACGUGUACUAUUAUUUGGUUUGCAAAACCAGUUAUUAUUGUUUCCUGCCGUGCUCUAUACAUUAGUAUGUAUUGCCGGGGGAGUACUGUUUGGUCGCCAGACCGGGAGUUUAAAAAUAAAACAAACCCCUUUUCCAAACCGAAA